rnacentral:lncRNA from 1 species
CUAUAUAUAUUAUUCUACGGGAUAAUUUUAAAGAAUCUAGGGGAUAUAAUUUUUACCUUGCUAAAGAAUAAAAAUUACUCGGCAUUCCUUUUAAGAAAAGGAGUACCUUGAUAAAGGUACUGAUGUCUUUAACGUGAAACUUAUGAAGUUUGAUAGGUAGAAGAACCGACACAAUCUAAUGAAUCCAUAGAAUUGGAUUUGAUCAGAUCAAAUUCGAAACUCAUUGUAGAGGUAUCAUUAAGGU